rnacentral:rRNA from 1 species
CGGCGAGUGAAGCGGCAACAGCUCAAAUUUGAAAUCUGGCGUCUAGGGGUCCGAGUUGUAAUUUGCAGAGGGAGUCUCGGAUUUAGGAUCGGCCCAAGUGCCUUGGAACAGGAUACCAAAGAGGGUGAGAGUCCCGUAUCCGGCUGAUACCGACGUCCGUGUGAGACCCCUUCGACGAGUCGAGUUGUUUGGGAAUGCAGCUCUAAAUGGGUGGUAAAUUCCAUCUAAAGCUAAAUACUGGCCAGAGACCGAUAGCGCACAAGUAGAGUGAUCGAAAGAUGAAAAGCACUUUGAAAAGAGAGUCAAACAGUACGUGAAAUUGUUGAAAGGGAAGCGUAUGUGGGCAGACUUGACCGCGGGAUUCAGCUCGUCUUCUGGCGGGUGUACUUUCUCGUGGGCAGGCCAGCAUCGGUUUCGGGGGUAAGACAAAGGCGACAGGAAUGUGGCUCCCUUCGGGGCGUGUUAUAGCCUGUCGUGCAAUGUUACCACCUGGGACCGAGGACCGCGUUUUUACGAGGAUGCUGGCGUAAUGGCCUCAUACGGCCCGUCUUGAAACACGGACCAAGGAGUCUAACAUCUAUGCGAGUGUUUGGGUGUCAAGCCCGGGCGCGUAAUGAAAGUGAACGGAGGUGGGAGUCUUCGGACGCACCAUCGACCGAUCCCGAUGUCUUCGGAGGGAUUUGAGUACGAGCAUAGCUGUUGGGACCCGAAAGAUGGUGAACUAUGCGUGAAUAGGGUGAAGCCAGAGGAAACUCUGGUGGAGGCUCGCAGCGG